GGGUGUGACUGCGUACCUUUUGUAUAAUGGGUCAGCGACUUAUAUUCUGUAGCAAGGUUAACCGAAUAGGGGAGCCGGAGGGAAACCGAGUCUUAAUUGGGCGUUAAGUUGCAGGGUAUAGACCCGAAACCCGGUGAUCUAGCCAUGGGCAGGUUGAAGGUUGGGUAACACUAACUGGAGGACCGAACCGACUAAUGUUGAAAAAUUAGCGGAUGACCUGUGGCUGGGGGUGAAAGGCCAAUCAAACCGGGAGAUAGCUGGUUCUCCCCGAAAGCUAUUUAGGUAGCGCCUCGUGAAUUCAUCUCCGGGGGUAGAGCACUGUUUCGGCUAGGGGGCCAUCCCGGCUUACCAACCCGAUGCAAACUGCGAAUACCGGAGAAUGUUAUCACGGGAGACACACGGCGGGUGCUAACGUCCGUCGUGAAGAGGGAAACAACCCAGACCGCCAGCUAAGGUCCCAAAGUCAUGGUUAAGUGGGAAACGAUGUGGGAAGGCCCAGACAGCCAGGAUGUUGGCUUAGAAGCAGCCAUCAUUUAAAGAAAGCGUAAUAGCUCACUGGUCGAGUCGGCCUGCGCGGAAGAUGUAACGGGGCUAAACCAUGCACCGAAGCUGCGGCAGCGAACGUAUCACCCAAGACAACUUUGCACAGUUGACGAUUGGCGGAGCGAAGCGACGUCAAAGCGUUUUACAACGUCGAGUUGGCUUAGGGAUACGUUCGUUGGGUAGGGGAGCGUUCUGUAAGCCUGUGAAGGUGGCCUGUGAGGGUUGCUGGAGGUAUCAGAAGUGCGAAUGCU
rnacentral:rRNA from 1 species